rnacentral:rRNA from 1 species
GAGUUUGAUCGUGGCUCAGAGCGAACGCUGGCGGCAGGCUUAACACAUGCAAGUCGAGCGGGCGUAGCAAUACGUCAGCGGCAGACGGGUGAGUAACGCGUGGGAACGUACCUUUUGGUUCGGAACAACACGAGGGAAACUUGUGCUAAUACCGGAUAAGCCCGUUACGGGGAAAGAUUUAUCGCCGAAAGAUCGGCCCGCGUCUGAUUAGCUAGUUGGUGAGGUAAUGGCUCACCAAGGCGACGAUCAGUAGCUGGUCUGAGAGGAUGAUCAGCCACAUUGGGACUGAGACACGGCCCAAACUCCUACGGGAGGCAGCAGGUGGGGAAUAUUGGACAAGUGGGCGCAAGCCUGAUCCAGCCAUGCCGCGUGAGUGAUGAA